AGAGCCGCUAUCGUGGGGCUCAGCUGCCGCUCGGUUCCUGGGGAAAACAGGGCAGAAAUGUGGGUGCAGCAGGGGCAGGGCUGAGCCUGGGCACGGACACGGGGUGCAGAUGUCUCCUGCUCUCUCCUGAAGCAGGAAACAGCCUGGCUCAAGGGUUCAGCCCGUGAGCCAGAGCAUCUCACCGAGCUGCAGCUCUUGGUUCUGUGGGGAACCACUCCCUGCAGGGCUCGGCAGGAUGCGGAGCCUUUGCCAAAAACCUUUCAGCAUCUUCCUGCCCCGUGCCAAGCCACCAUCCCCCUCAGGCCAGUGAGCUGUAAAAGUGGAGCCAGGGUAUCUCCAUGGAAUUUGUCACCGUGUUUACAAGUGUUCCAAAGGAAUGCGUUAUCCAAGGUGCUGGAUUCCUCCCUUAGGAAAACACCUCUGCGUCUCAGGGCAAACGCCUUUGUAACAUCUUCUUGGAGCUUAAAUUGUAUGGGAAAGGAAAAUAAAG